rnacentral:rRNA from 1 species
GACGAACGCUGGCGGCGUGCCUAAUACAUGCAAGUAGAACGCUGAAGGAGGAGCUUGCUUCUCUGGAUGAGUUGCGAACGGGUGAGUAACGCGUAGGUAACCUGCCUGGUAGCGGGGGAUAACUAUUGGAAACGAUAGCUAAUACCGCAUAAUAGUAGAUGUUGCAUGACAUUUGCUUAAAAGGUGCAAUUGCAUCACUACCAGAUGGACCUGCGUUGUAUUAGCUAGUUGGUGAGGUAACGGCUCACCAAGGCAACGAUACAUAGCCGACCUGAGAGGGGGAUCGGCCACACUGGGACUGAGACACGGCCCAGACGCCUAAGGGAGGCAGCAGUAGGGAAUCUUCGGCAAUGGACGGAAGUCUGACCGAGCAACGCCGCGGGAGUGAAGAAGGUUUUCGGAUCGUAAAGCUCGGUUGUAAGAGAAGAACGAGUGUGAGAGUGGAAAGUUCACACUGUGACGGUAUCUUACCAGAAAGGGACGGCUAACUACGUG